AUUGAACGCUGGCGGCAUGCCUUACACAUGAAAUCGAACGGUAACGGGCCUUCGGGUGCCGACGAGUGGCGAACGGGUGAGUAAUACAUCGGAACGUGCCCGAUCGUGGGGGAUAACGAGGCGAAAGCUUUGCUAAUACCGCAUACGAUCUACGGAUGAAAGCAGGGGACCGCAAGGCCUUGCGCGGACGGAGCGGCCGAUGGCAGAUUAGGUAGUUGGUGGGAUAAAAGCUUACCAAGCCGACGAUCUGUAGCUGGUCUGAGAGGAUGAUCAGCCACACUGGGACUGAGACACGGCCCAGACUCCUACGGGAGGCAGCAGUGGGGAAUUUUGGACAAUGGGCGCAAGCCUGAUCCAGCCAUGCCGCGUGCAGGAUGAAGGCCUUCGGGUUGUAAACUGAUUUUGUACGGAACGAAAAGCCUUCUUUUAAUACAGGAGGGUCAUGACGGUACCGUAAGAAUAAGCACCGGCUAACUACGUG
rnacentral:rRNA from 1 species